GCUACGGGAGGCAGCAGUGGGGAAUAUUGCACAAUGGGGGGAACCCUGAUGCAGCGACGCCGCGUGAGUGAAGAAGUAUUUCGGUAUGUAAAGCUCUAUCAGCAGGGAAGAAAAUGACGGUACCUGACUAAGAAGCCCCGGCUAACUACGUGCCAGCAGCCGCGGUAAUACGUAGGGGGCGAGCGUUAUCCGGAUUUACUGGGUGUAAAGGGAGCGCAGACGGGGGUGCAAGUCUGGAGGGAAAGGGUGGGGCCCAACCCCCGGACUGCUCUUGAAACUGUAAGGCUGGAGUGCAGGAGAGGUAAGCGGAAUUCCUAGUGGAGCGGUGAAAUGCGUAGAUAUUAGGAGGAACCCCAGUGGCGAAGGCGGCUUACUGGACUGCAACUGACGUUGAGGCUCGAAAGCGUGGGGAGCAAACAGGAUUAGAUACCCGGGUAGUC
rnacentral:rRNA from 1 species